rnacentral:rRNA from 1 species
GAAAUGCGAUACGUAGUGUGAAUUGCAGAAUUCCGUGAACCAUCGAAUUUUUGAACGCAUAUUGCGCUCAAGGCUUCGGCCAAGAGCAUGUCUGCCUCAGCGUCGGGUUAAUAUCGCUCCCCACUCACCCUGUGUGUAUGGGUUAGCGGAUCUGGCUGUUCCAGCUAGGCACGUACACUUGUGUACAUAUGUGCUCUGGAUCAGCUGAAGUACAGAGGCUAACCAAGGACCCGUCAAGGGCCGCAACUGGGUAGGCAACUUGUUGCUAUUCUUAGUUGUUGGUCUGGGACCCUGUGUUUGGCCCUCUAACCAGGAAUUAACCCUUCAUUUUCUCGACCUGAGCUCAGGCA